rnacentral:rRNA from 1 species
AGCAGUCGCCGCGGUAAUACGUAGGGUGCAAGCGUUAUCCGGAAUUAUUGGGCGUAAAGAGCUCGUAGGCGGUCUGUCGCGUCUGCUGUGAAAACCCGAGGCUCAACCUCGGGCCUGCAGUGGGUAUGGGCAGACUAGAGUGCGGUAGGGGAGAUUGGAAUUCCUGGUGUAGCGGUGGAAUGCGCAGAUAUCAGGAGGAACACCGAUGGCGAAGGCAGAUCUCUGGGCCGUAACUGACGCUGAGGAGCGAAAGCGUGGGGAGCGAACAGGAUUAGAGACCCCUGUAGUCCCUGUCUCUUAUAC